rnacentral:rRNA from 1 species
CCUACGGGGGGCUGCAGUGGGGAAUAUUGGACAAUGGGCGAAAGCCUGAUCCAGCCAUGCCGCGUGUGUGAAGAAGGCCUUCGGGUUGUAAAGCACUUUCAGUGGGGAAGAAAGCCUUGGGGCUAAUACCCUCGAGGAAGGACAUCACCCACAGAAGAAGCACCGGCUAACUCCGUGCCAGCAGCCGCGGUAAUACGGAGGGUGCGAGCGUUAAUCGGAAUUACUGGGCGUAAAGCGCGCGUAGGCGGUCUGAUAAGCCGGUUGUGAAAGCCCCGGGCGCAACCUGGGAACGGCAUCCGGAACUGUCAGGCUAGAGUGCAGGAGAGGAAGGUAGAAUUCCCGGUGUAGCGGUGAAAUGCGUAGAGAUCGGGAGGAAUACCAGUGGCGAAGGCGGCCUUCUGGACUGACACUGACGCUGAGGUGCGAAAGCGUGGGUAGCAAACAGGAUUAGAUACCCGGGUAGUC